rnacentral:rRNA from 1 species
GAUGAACGCUGGCGGCGUGCCUAAUACAUGCAAGUCGAGCGAACAGACGAGGAGCUUGCUCCUCUGACGUUAGCGGCGGACGGGUGAGUAACACGUGGAUAACCUACCUAUAAGACUGGGAUAACUUCGGGAAACCGGAGCUAAUACCGGAUAAUAUAUUGAACCGCAUGGUUCAAUAGUGAAAGACGGUUUUGCUGUCUCUUAUAGAUGGAUCCGCGCCUCAUUAGCUAGUUGGUAAGGUAACGGCUUACCAAGGCGACGAUGCGUAGCCGACCUGAGAGGGUGAUCGGCCACACUGGAACUGAGACACGGUCCAGACUCCUACGGGAGGCAGCAGUAGGGAAUCUUCCGCAACGGGCGAAAGCCUGACGGAGCAACGGCGCGUGAGUGAUGAAAGUCUUCGGAGCGUAAAACUCUGUUAUUAGGGAAAAACAAAUGUGUAAGUAACUAUGCACGUCUUGACGGUACCUAAUCAGAAAGCCACGGCUAACUACGUG